CAUGUCCUGUGGUUCCAGGAGUCAGGACCUGAUGGAAGUGGGGUGCCCCCAGGACAGCUAGAGAGCCCCAGCUCUUCGGAUAUACGGGGCACAAGGGCCAGCUGAGCAAGUCGCCUCUUCUCCCCCAGGGGAAGCACCUGGGGACCAGUACCCCACAGCAAGUGCCUGCCAAGCAUCAACUGUGACCCACCGAUGUGUUGGACACAGCUCGGUGCAAGGCAGCCAGCAGAAGACGGAGCAGAUCGCACACUGAGUACGUCACGCUUAGGCUCCUGCCUGAGAAAAGAGGCAGCAGAGAGAAAUUCUGAGACCUCUGCCUGCCUGCCCUGUGCUCAGAACCUUCUCUUCUGGCCCAUCUGGGGUACAACGCACCCUCCAUGGGUACACCUGGGAUGGAGUCGCAGAUUUACCAGGUUUACCUUCCCUCCCGAAACUACCAACACAACCAGACAAACUUGUGAACAACAGGACAUCAGGACAGCUGUUACUUGGUUCAUCCAGGUCCUUCUCUCGCGGCGACUGUUUUCCUUGGUUGCCGGUUUGCAUGUACAGAGGAAAGACAGACUGAGGCGUGCGGACAGCGGGCAAAGCUCUCCUCUGCUGUCUGGGUCUGUUUCCUCAGCCGGCCUCGCCCCUUCCUGAGAAGGCUGGCUCCAGUUCUGUCCACAGAGUGACUCAUAGCCGGCAGCCUUCAGUGGAGGGUGCUGGACCUCCUCACCCCACAGAGACCUGGUGAAUGAGGGUGGUACUAAGCCUGCUUCCAAGGUCACUUCCAAAGGCAAACCCAGCACUGCUAGCCACGUGGUGGAGCCUGGGUUCAAGGCAAGCAGAGUGCUCACCCCACUGUUCUGUGGACAAUUCCCUCCACCAACGCUCCCCGCCCCCACCCCCACCCCAGCAAAGCCCCUGGCCCAUCCUGUUCACAAACUGCAGACUCUGAGCUCACAGCCUCUCCAGGUGCUGGGGAGGGUAGCACCUCUACCCAAACUGCCUCUUGCCCAUGUACUGAGCUGCAGUCUCCUCCUCCUUGGUUUAUACAUCAAUAUAAUCAUGCCUGUUUUUUAUUUUCUGGAAGUAUAUCUGUCAGGAGUCCUCCCACCCUCUUCUCGUGUCUGCUUGGCAUUGUGCUAAGUUGCCAUUUCCAGGGGGGGUUGGAGAGGGGAGGGAAGUAAAAGGGUGCUCAGUCUGCCCCUGGACACCUGAGCUGGCUCAAUUCUCUCAUGUGUCUGCAAGUCCCAGACACAUGCCAUUGUCACCAUAGUCAUGAUAACAGGGCUGUGUGUAGGAGGCCUCAUCCCUGACAAGACCAGAGUCAUCCCACAAUAAACAGCCUGAGCUUAGCUACGGUGCUCCAGUGCAGUGAGAUCACGUAUAACCAUUGGCUGACGUGUUGUGCGAGAACUGCAAUUGACUCCAAAUGCCCUGAGAGGGGUGUAGCGGUUAGGACUGUCUUUAGCUGUGGGUGAAAGAUACCCUAAAACAACAGUGACUUAAACAAGACAGAAGUUACUCCACGUGGGAGGAGGAAGGUCUGCUAGGGAGGGUGCAGCGUGUUGAGGCUCAGGCUCCACCACUCCCAGGCUCGGCUGUGUGCGGCUUCCAUUCCCAAGAUUACCUCAUGGUCCAUGGUGACUGCUCCAGCUCCAGCCAUCAUGUGUACAUUCCUGCCAGCAGAAGGAGAAAGAGGGAUGAAGGGCUUGCCCACUCUUAUUUAAAAACUACUUCCUGGAAUAGAAGUUCCUCAUGGUGCUGCCACUUACACUCCAUUGGCCAGAACUGGUCCAGCCAGCAGUGUGCCACGCUCAAAACCAAGGGCACCACUAUUAAGGGAGGAGAAGAUAUGGUGGGGCCCACUGAGGGAGCCCAGGCAGGCACCACGCACCUCCCCAGGGGUCUGCGUGUCCUGGGUACUCGGGAAUAGCCACUGUCCAUGGCUCAGAUGGUCUGAUCACUCCUCGCCUCCUUUGCUAUGGUCUGAGCAUUGUGUCCCCCCAGGGUUGGGAUCUGUACACCCAGUGCAAUGGUGUGUUGGUGGGUGCUUAGGUCAUGAAGGUGGAGCCUUCCUUAGAGAUUAUUCAUUCGAGAUUAUAAGAGACCCAGAGCUCCUUAGCCUCUCCAUUCCGCCUCGUGAGGACACAGUGAGAAGUCUGCCACCCAGAAGAGGGCCCUCACCCAAACCUACAGAUACCCUGAUCUGAGACUUCCAGCUAUCAGACAGUGAGAAAUACAUUUCUUUCUUUUUUUUUUUUUUUUUAACAUCUUUAUUGGGGUAUAAUUGCUUUACAAUGUUAGUUUCUGCUUUAUAACAAAGUGAAUCAGCUAUACAUAUGAGAAAUACAUUUCUGUUGUUCAUAAACCACCCAGUCUGUGGUACUUUGUUACAGCAGCCAGAAUGCAUGAUGACACCCUUUUUUGGGCCUCCCAUUCUCUGUCUAGAGACAAGAAUUCUGGGCCCAGAGUUUUCAUUCCAUUACUUGCCGGGCACCCAGUUUCAUUGUAGCCUUGGCUUUGAAUUCGUCACCCAGCCUUACCAAGUCCGGAGUGAAGGAUCUUCCCCAGGGUGGUUACUGGCAGAAGAAGCACUGAAAGAAGCAGGGACUUCUGUGUCCCCAGACGUCAUGGGGGACAUGACUGUUGGAGUUGGCAACAGCGCUGUGUAGAGAAAGCAAACGGAAAACAGCCUGCAGCCGCCCUUCCUCCCGUCCUUGGGUCCUUUGCGCUGCGCCUCGGUUCUGCUGGAAGCAGCUGGGCUUCCAGGGCCCUGAGAAAGAAGGGACAGUUCACGGGGAUCCUGGCCCAACCCCCCGGCCCGAACCCCCAGUGCAAACUUUUCCCAAAGUAGCUUCCCCACAUUUCGUGUCCCAUGUUUGGAUGAGGCCUCAGACACCGGCGUGGGCUGGGCCAGAGCAGCUUCCUCCUCCCGGGAAGACCUGCCCCAUAGAGAAUUCCAGACAACAAGCUGUCUGGUGCCUGACUCCCCAGCUCUACCCUGAGCUUCCUGCCGUCGGGGAACAGCUCCCCAUCCACGGUGGCAGUCGGGAACUUGUGCUCGCUGGUGGGAGGAGGGGAGCGCUGGGUCCUGCCUGGUCGGGGGGUGGGGGCUGGAUUCAGCCCCCUCUCCUCCUGCAUUGAGCCUUCACACCUCCCCUGACUGGUGCUGCCUUUCCAGGGCCUUUGUCCUCUGGGGCCACCUGGGGGACCUGGGCCCAAAGUCUCGGCCCAGCAUCACCUCCAUGGCCAGUGAUCCCCGCCCCCUGCACACCUUUAAGCAGCACCUCUGUGGGGCAGGUCCUGGCCUGGCUUCCUGUCUCACCUCAACCUCUUCCUCUCAGAGGAUGGCAGAGGCCCGCCUCCCUGCUCUGGGGUCUCUUCCGUGGAGAGGCCAAGGGCCUGCCCAGGGUCCAGAGUUUGGGGACAGGCAGAGCCAGGAGGGGAACCCGCAUCUUGGUCCUUCUCUGCCCUGCCUGCCGGCUUCAAGCAAGACGGUCCUGAGGGUGCCUCCAGGAAACUGCCCACGUAGAGAGCUCCAGGUUGCAUCCUGGAUGUACGGCAUCCUCCCCGCUAUAGCGGACACCAGUGCCGCUCUCCCGUCUCCCACCCCUCCUCUGGGGCAAAUUGCAUUUUCCAAUCAGCAGACCUCCUACAGAGCAGGCUCUUCUUGCGCCCAGGCUUGGCCCUCCUCCUGCACAGAGGUGGGGCUGUGUUCCCUGCUCCUGAUCCGGGCAGGGUGCCACCCCGGGGUAAGUGAGGCCAGGUCACAAAGGAUGAGAUGGUCUCUACCUGUCUCUCUUGGGACCGUCCCCUUUGAAAGGCAGCCUCCCUGCUGUGAGGAAACCAAAGCUGCACCGAGGCCAUCUGGAGCCUCCUCGUGACCGUCCCAGAGGCACGUGAGGUGGUGACUCUUCAGAUGACUCCAGCCCCGAGCCUGGUGUCCCCUCCCACCGCGGCCGCUGACGUCACCCUCCUUGCUGGGUUUGAUGUGGAAACUCGGCUUCUACGCGCCAGUGCCAAGUCAAAUCUCGGAGACAGAGUUCAGGUGAAGUAGAAAAGAAUAGCUUUACUGCUUUGCCAGGCAAAGGGGGACACGGCGGGCUCAUGCCUUCAAAACUGUGUGUCCCAAGCCCAGGGGAUUUGAUGAGUUUUAUAGCAAUGGUUCAAGGGAGGGCUUGCUGGUAAGGAACAGGGUGUGUGCAGGGCCUGCACCCCUUUAACCUGGCCUCAGGUGGUCUCCCGAUGUGUUUCUGUGGUUCUCGAGUUUAUCAAACUGUGACCUUCUCUCUGGAAUGAAGAAUGCUUUAUCAGGUAGUUGACAUCUUCCCUUUGUUGGGGUUUAAGUCUGCAGAAGAGCUCAAAGAUAUUGUUAUGUGUAUCCCUUGAGGGGGAACCAGGACCCUUUCCCAAGGCUACGCUAUUGUUUCUUGGCUAUUCCUCUCUUGUCUCUUCAUCUCCUCCCUUCCCUGAUUAGCAACUGUUUGAGUCUGCCCUUUGGAACUCAGGGAAGGUCAUGGAGGCUGGAGCCUAUUCCCUACAAACAAGAAACAGGGGACACAGAAAGGCUUCCAUGCCCAGGAACCCCACAGGGUCCUGCUAUGUUAAAUGUUCUUUUCCAAAUCCUGACCUUCAACAUCCAGGAGCACAAUAAAAUGAUCUAAGCUGCUGUGUUUGGGGGUAACUCGUCAUCACCAGCAGCAGUAACAGAAAUGGCAUCUUUCUCUUACAGAAACGUAAUGUCUCUUGCUCUCUGGUUACAUCUUCCUGCCCACCCACCAUGCCCCCCACCCCAGAAUCACAUGUGGCCAUGUGACUAGCUUUGGACAAUCAGCCUGAGUGGAAAUAAUGUGUGACCACAUUUAACUGCUGGCCUUGACUCUGUCCCUCUUCUGAAGGCACGAGUGACAGUGCCAUCUCUGUGGGUCACAUUGAACAUACAACAGGAACAAAACCCAAGCCUUUUAUUUUCAACUGCUGAGAUUUGGGGGUCAUUUGUUACUAUGCCAUAUCAUGUCCUGACUGAUACACACUGUGUUCUGAACACUGUGCCUGGCUCAGAGGAGCUCGUUGCUUACGGAACUGAACACCUGCAUGAGGACAGCAGUGUCCAGUGUCCUGUCCCCUACCUGUCCCAUCUCACAGCUCUCACAUCAGACUCAGGGAAGCCACUCUCAACUCGGAGCUCGCCUAUUUCCACUCUUCCACCGCCAGCAGAACAUGCUGCUGGCCAGACCCCAGGGAAAGCUGGGCUCACCCCAGCUCCAGUCCGGCCCCCAGAGGCAGCGGCCUGAGGCACAGGGCCCUCUGGAUUCAGGGAGCAGAGUGGCCUAAGAAACCAGAGGAAGGAUGGGGACCUGGGAGCCUGACAACUGAGGUCAGGUUCCUGCAGUGCCCUCCAGCGGUGUGGCCAAGGGCAAGUCCUCCACCUCCAAGCCUCAGUUUUCUCAUUUGUAAAAUGGGCACGAUAAUGUCAGUGUGUCAGUCUAUAACAGAACACCCCAGUGUACACAGGGUGUUAUACGAUACCAUGUUAUGCAUAGAGUGACUUAUAAACAUUUAUUUCUCACAGCUCUGGAGACUGAAAGUCUAAGAUCGAGAUCCUGGCAGAUUCAGUGUGUGAUGAAAGCCCCCUUUUUGGUUCACAGACGGGUGUCUUCACUGGUGAAAGGGGCGAGGGCUCCACCUUCAUGACCUUAUCACCUCCCAGGGGCCCCACCUCCUCAUACCUUCAUAUUGAGGGUUAGAAUUUCAACAUAUGAAUUUAGAGAGGACACAAACACUCAGUCCAGAGUACAUAGCCUUUCCCUCCCAGGGUAUUAGGAGGAUUAAAUUCCCCUGGGAAGGCCUCGCCCAGGCCGGCUGCACUGGGCGGCACCCAGCCAGUCCUGGUCCCCGCUCCCGAGGGAGAGGUGUGGGCCCCAGCCAGCUGCCCUCAGAGCAGGCGGCCCAUCAGUCCUUACCUCCUGGAACCCAUGCCCUGCUUCACUCAGGCAGCCUGGAUGGGCCACCUGGUGCGGGUGAGCAGAGCUCUCAAAUAGCUCUUCUUCCCUGCAGUGACGGGGAGGUCAGUAAGAUGAUGGCAGCUGCACGCUGUCAGGUGCUCAGGCCCAAAUCUCAUCUUCCCUCUUUCUCUCACAGGCCACGUCCACCAAACCCAGCCAUUGGUCCCUCCACAGUGUGGCCGGCAUCCAACCACUGUCAGUCACACACACACACACACACACACACACACACACACACACACCCCACUUACCCUGCUCCAGGACCCGCCUCCUGCCUGGUCUUCCUGACUAACCCCACCCCCCUUCACCCUGCACACAGCAGAGUGAGCCAGUUUAAACCCACAUUGGGGCUCCUGGCAUGUUUCCCAACAUCAAGCCGUUCUUCAGUUCUCAGCGGAUGACUGACUGUCCUGCAAAUUUGUUAGGGAACUGUUGACGGAAACCACCCGCCAUGGCCAGGCCCGCUUGCCUGACUUGUCUCACAACAGGUCAUGAGCAUGGUGCUGCCACCGGGAGGAAUUUGGGAGGGGCCAAAAGAGGGAGGAGACAACCAACCUCCCAGAGUCCUUUGUGCUGGAAUCCAUCUUGGCUGAGAGAUGCGCGCACCACCAGGAAGGACCCUGAAUCACCAAAUAUGGGCCAAGCAAGAUUAUUGGCCAGAGACAACCCGGAAACUAACCCUAUCACCAUGAAACCCGAGACUGCGAGCCACGUGGAGAGCAGUCCUCCUGGGUUCCCUUACCCUCUGCUC